rnacentral:rRNA from 1 species
UACAGAGGGUGCAAGCGUUAAUCGGAAUUAUUGGGCGUAAAGGGCUCGUAGGCGGUUUGUCGCGUCGGGAGUGAAAUCCACUGGCUUAACUGGUGGCUUGCUUUCGAUACGGGCAGACUGGAGGUAUGCAGGGGAGAACGGAAUUCCUGGUGUAGCGGUGAAAUGCGCAGAUAUCAGGAGGAACACCAGUGGCGAAGGCGGCUUACUGGUCCGGAACUGACGCUGAGGUGCGAAAGCGUGGGGAGCAAACAGG